GGGAGAUAGUGCAGUUAAAUUUAAAGCACAAAGAUUGUUCGUAUAAGCAAUUUAGAAAUAGAAUGUUUUGAAGUUUUGAAUGUUUUGUUCUGAAAAGAGCUUCAAAAAUAUUAAGAUCACUGCUAGCUGCAUUUGGAAUUUUAGAUUGGUUCUUUAGGAUACAUAAACUUAACUUGAAUUCAACAUGAAAAAGUAUUUUUGCUGUUAUGAGCUGCAGUUAAUUUAAUGCUGCUGUAGAAUCACAAACUUUUAAUCUACUAAAUUAAUUACUACACUGUAAUCUAAAAGUUAUUUCCUUCCUCUCUUUUCCCUUUUAUUUUGUAGAUAAAGCCACUGCAUAAUCAGACCACGUACCACAGUGUGCAGUACAUAAUGACUGCCUGUGUGAUUUAAGAGUGGAGAAGGAAACGCAGUGGUUUCUUGAAGGAUGCAAUGGAUCAAAGACAAAUGAGUCAGGAUGAUGAAGUAUCAAAGUCAAGACUUGGUUCCAGAGGCUGAAAGAACUGGUGAUGGAAGUUUGGAAGAGGUCUCUCCAUUUCAGCAAAAUCGAGUUCAGCUGUUAGAGCUGUAAAAAAAAGACAUUGCUAUAAAAACAAACACACCCCAGUACCCCAACACCCCUCUCAUAAAAAGCCCAUGGACACAUCACACCUUGCUUCUAUAUGCAGUAUUCAAAUGUUCCAGGAGGAAGCAGUUCAUUCAAAUACUAGCAUUAACUUCAUGAUAACCAAGAAAGAUGUUCUUAUUUUCAUGAAACACCACAUUGUUCUAGAGAGCACAGAACUCCCACCUGUCUGAUAAUCAGUUUCAUCAAUUCUGUGACCCUACAUGAAUAAUAAAGUGUUAGAUAUUAUUGUCUCUACCUUCCUGAGAGGAAAAGUUGUGCAUAAACAAGUGACAGGAUUGACAGAGAUAACAAACAGCCUGGCCAUGGUAGCAGGAAGCUGCAUAAAACUAAACUAUGAUCAGACACUUGACCAGACUACCCUUUACCUUUAUUUUUUUGCUCCACUAUUACACUAUGUGGACAUAAAGCAAAGCACAAAGAACAUGGAAGCAGCAAAGGUGUCGCAUGUAGAAUCCUUGCUGAAUUUAAAAUAUGUUGAGUAUAAAUGCUACAGACUAACAUAUAACAUUGAGUGAACUACUGUAUGAGGAGAGCACAGCACAAAGAUGUUUUAAAAUGGUGAAUACCUUGGAA